CACGACGCCGCCCCGCCUUAAAUCGGUCGGUGGGUUUGUAUAUAAAGGCUCCCGAGAUAUCGAUUCCGGCAUAACGCAUUCUUUGUGCAGAUCUAUUCUUUGUUUUUUACUUUCAUCCUCAAAGACCAACCAAAAAACCAAAAAUGGGCGCAGAAAAAGUAUCCAUGAACAUCGUCGUCGUCGGACAAGUGCAAUCUGCCAAGGUCGUCAAGACCGUCGCCAAAGCCACACCAGCGACCAGCCAACUGAUUAACUGUUAAUGCAUUCAGUCCAUCUAUUGCAAAACUCAAAAAUGCCAUAACCCAAACAGUACCAAAAAUAAUAUGUAAAUAUAUGUAAUUAAUUUCAGUAUUGAAACCGCAAAAUAAAUCAGCCUUUUCCGGUAAACGUAA